CCCCUGAGGAACACCACAGGUAACAUUUUUGUGAUUGUGUUUCAGGAUACCACUUGAUGCAUGGGGGCCUUCCUGGUGGCUCAGAUGAUAAAGAAUCUGCCUGUAAUGCAAGAGACCCGGGUUUCAUCUCCUGGAGAAGGGAAUGGUUACCCACUCCAGUAUUCUUGUCUGGAUAAUUCCAUGGACAGAGGAGGAUGGCAGGCCACAGUCCAUGGGGUCACAAAGAGUCGGACACAACUGAGCGACUUUCACUUCACACUUGAUUUGUGGAUUUCCUUCUACAUAAACAGGCUCAUAUUAUACAUUUUAUAGACGCUACUUUCUUCACCCAAUACUGUAUUUUGAGGACACUUUUUUAUAUCAAGCACCCCAGGAUGGCCUGAAAUCUGCAGUAAAUCUCUUUGGAGUGAGACAUCUUCCUGUGAUGGACUGCUGCUCACCCUCACAUGGACUCAUCAAUCCCAUUUGCUUCCUUUCCCAGCUGCCAUGUUAUCUGAGGAGAGCAAAGUCAAAAGUUGGUGCUUUGCUCUGAAACCCUCGGCUGGUUGUGAACAUCAACCAAAGCCCUGGAAGUGACUGGCGAGAAGUGAGCAGGUCUCUGUGAAGCAGAGGAGCUGGACUUUGGAGUGCUGGGUGUCUGCAGCCUCAGGGAUGAGGGUGAGGUGACCACCCCAGGUGGAUGCUGAGCCAAACUGCAGCUGCCUCUGGGGUCUCCCAGGACCAGCUUUAAGGGUAACCCAUCAGACUGCCAUCCACAGUUUCAGCCAGAUGUGUAGCCCUUGGAACAAGAAAUCAAACAGCUGCUUUGAAGAUGAAAAGCCGUGGGAGAGCAUGGAGCCCCUUUAUUACCAUCCAGAUCGCACAAGUUCCACAUGGUCCCUGCUCUGCUUGGGCUGGUGAAGGGCAAAGCCAGCCGGAAAUGCCUAGCGCAAAGAAGAGGAGCAAGUAAAAUUCUGGAGGGAGGAAGAUGGUUGUGGGCUCAGAAAACUAAAGUCAUUGAAGAAAAGCAAAGCAAAGGAAUUUGGAUCUGGAUUUCUCACCUCUGCCCUAUCCCCACCUCCGACCCAGAACUCAGCACUCACGGAGAUCUCUUUCCUACUGGACUCUGCAGGCCGUGGGCCGUGUCUACUUUGCCCACCAUUCUGCUCCGGCAUGUCUCCUAUAGACAGUGA
rnacentral:lncRNA from 1 species